rnacentral:tRNA from 1 species
ACCGAAAUAGCGCAGUUGGGAGAACGUUAGACUAUAGAUCGAAAGGUUCCUGGUUCGAUCCCGGGAUUGGGCA